CUCUGGUGCAGCCGUCGCCAGAAGCCAACGUGAGCACGUCGAUCCAGUUGAACUCCACAGCCAGAGGUUCUGCAGCAGCCUGGGCCAUCCUGCCCGUCUUGCUGCUGGCGAUGGCGGCGGCGGGCGGAUACCUGAUGUGGAGAAACUGGCAGCUGAAGAACCAGAAGAGCAUGAACUUUGACAACCCCGUCUACCUGAAGACCACAGAAGAAGACCUCAACAUCGAUAUCACCCGGCACGGCGCCAACGUGGGACACACCUACCCUGCGAUUUCCAUAGUGAGCACAGAAGAUGAUUUGUCCUGAUCGUCUUUGGGUUUUUUUCGUUUUUGUCUUUUGUCUUUUUCUGUUUUUACGGCAGCCCGUAGCGUUGCAUGGCGCCUCCUUGUUCCCAUGCCGACGGUUGUCUGUAGCAGCCCGUACAGUCCGACCACAUGCCUUCUGAAGUGCAUUAUGUCAUAAUCUGUGCUGAGGGUGACCGGUGGAAAAGUUACUAAUGUGAAUACAGCGAUGAAUCAUGACGGAUUUCACUCAGUGCUACGUUUUGGUUUUUUUUUUGUUACGUUUUUUUUCGGACCUUGGACGACUUCCUGUCGAUUUUUUUGCCCCCGUGCUCUUAAAGGAGUCCGACGCCAUCUUGCCAACGACAGACGAGAGAGACUCUUUGCCUCUUUAACGAGGAUUUCUGUGCUCGGGCUGAAGUGGUAAACCGACGACGGGACGCAGAGCCGCUCGGCUGGACAGGAUCUGAAACUGGAUCCGAGCUCUGCGUAUCCGACACGACGUGCGUUGGAAGCCGGCGGGAGAGCAGAGGGUCAGGGGUCGUGUAGGAGUGAGGCUUUCCUGGAGAAAACGUGGUUCAGACGUCAUUUCCUGCCUCCUCUGAUCCCACAGGCUCCGAUGUUUGUAUAUUUACGUUCGAUCAGAAAAUCUAAAAAAUGUACGUUGUUUGUUUUUUUCAUUUGUUAUUUUUAUUUCUGCUUUUCUACAGAACCUCCUGGAACUCAUUUUUACUAUUAUAUUAUUAUUAUUGUUGUUGUUGUGGAAGCUGUGUACGGAUCACCAUGGUUACAGCAUUUGUAAACACUGUACAUAUGAAUUCAUCCAAUCAGGACUCUUCAAUGCACUUUGAUCUAACGUUCUUGUGUAAAUAAGAUUGUAUACAUUUGACUUGAAAUCCACUUUUUGCUAAAGUCGGGCAUCGAACCAGGGUCACAGUUACAGAAGAGACGUAUUUAA